GGUGGAGACCCAGCUGACAGGCUUCUGGUACUGGCUCACUGCCAGCUGCAGUUUGGCAUGUUCUAGGGCCAGAGGUUCAGGUGGCUCCUGGAGAACAGUCUUGGAUAUGCACUGUAUUUACUAUACAGCAUUUCCAAGGAAACCGUGCAGGCAAACCCUCUGUCUGAGAACAAACAGCUGUUCCAGGAGUUUACCUCUCAGAUCAGAGAAAUGAUGGUGGAACUGGAGAAGUUUAGCCGUAAGCAGGAGAUGCAGUGGAAAGUGAAGGACUCUGGAGACCAGGGCUGUUUCAUGGUGGAGUUUGGAGAUUGUAAGGGUCGCUCCAUGAAGGGAGUUUGAGGACCAGAGUCAGAAGGCCCAGACCCUCAGUACCUGAAGACUGCUGAUGCCCGGCCCAACAUCAACAUGGCGUCUUUGUGCCAGAGACGCACUGCAGCCUCCACCCUCCCAUCUUCAGCCUCCAUUUCUUCUGUACCUCCUCCACUUCCUCUGCAUCUCCAGCAGGAUUCCAAAGUGGCGCAUGGAAGCCCGCCACUGAAAUCUCUGCUGGCGCGUGGGAAAAAUCGGUCUCCUUCACAGCUGGUGAAAAAGUGAAUGUCACCAGUUAAACUCUGAAUAGAAGUGUGGAUUUUGAAUUUCCCCUACAGCAGUCCUACAUGUAUAGCUUGUACCAUUUUAACACAUUAUACAAACUUGUCCACUUUGUUCCGCAGCUCACCUCACCUCACCCCCACCUUCAAAACCCCAGCAGCUUUUCCCUUCUGACUCUGCUGAGAUUGAUGAUGAGGAAAUGGUAUCCGCUGCAGCGCAAUGUGAGGCACAGCUGAAUAGAGCAUAAGUGGAUAUGGCACACUCUGUUCAAGGCCAACGCACGUACCGGCAAGCCAGAGCUAGUGUCACAGCUGAAGCUUUGGUGGUAUCCUCCUUAGCCCAUCCUCAUUCACACCCAGCCUGUCCACUUCUUCUGUCGGCCGCUGUUCCUGUGGAUGCCCCCGAAGAUGUGGCUGUUUCCUCUGGUCUGUGUUCAUCCAGCCUGUGGCAAGCACAUGCUAACAGCUGCAGGAAUGUACAGAACAGUGCAAAAGGUGCUGGACAUCGACAGGUGGUAUGACCUUGCCACUGAGUACCUGGAGUGCAAAUGCUGCUUGGUCUGAAGACAUCUUAGGCCAGCUGGAUAUGGGCCAACCCAGCAAGUUUCCAGCUUUGCUCAC